rnacentral:rRNA from 1 species
GUCUACUGUCAUAUGACCUUGAACAUACCCCAUUUUGUCUGAUUUUAGAACCAAGGCAGGCCUGGCUAGUAUUUGAAUGGGAGACUGCCUGUGAAUACCAGGUGCCUAUAGGCU